rnacentral:tRNA from 2 species
GCCCGGAUGGCGGAAUUGGUAGACGCGCUAGGUUCAGGUCCUAGUGGGAGUAUUCCUAUGAGAGUUCAAGUCUCUCUUCGGGUA